UACAGAGGUCCCAAGCGUUGUUCGGAUUCAUUGGGCGUAAAGGGUGCGUAGGCGGCGGGGCAAGUCUGAUGUGAAAUCCCGGGGCUCAACCCCGGAACUGCAUUGGAUACUGCCUUGCUUGAGUACUGGAGAGGGAACUGGAAUUUACGGUGUAGCAGUGAAAUGCGUAGAGAUCGUAAGGAAGGCCAGUGGCGAAGGCGAGUUCCUGGACAGUUACUGACGCUGAGGCACGAAGGCCAGGGGAGCAAACGGG
rnacentral:rRNA from 1 species